ensembl:misc_RNA 7SK 7SK RNA
AGGUGUGAGGUCAUUUGGCUGUGAUGGCUAUCAUACUGAUUGCCAGUAUCAGUUGGGUUGAUGUGGUGGGAAAGGCAAUGUGCUCUCUCCCUCCUGCUGUCCCUCCCAAAACUCUGGGGAAAUGUGGUAUUCCCCAGUAAAGGACCACUCUUGCAUCAAGGGCAUAGAACAAGCUCUGCUGCCCUGCUAGAACCCCCGAACUCUCUCAUAACACACAUUUACCACAUGAGAGUUGCAGGUAGACAAACAAGGCAAACGAAGGAAGCCAGUAGCUUUGGU